rnacentral:rRNA from 1 species
GGGGAAUAUUGCACAAUGGGCGAAAGCCUGAUGCAGCGACGCCGCGUGAGGGAUGACGGCCUUCGGGUUGUAAACCUCUUUCAGUAGGGAAGAAGCCCUCUUUGGGGGUGACGGUACUUGCAGAAGAAGCGCCGGCUAACUACGUGCCAGCAGCCGCGGUAAUACGUAGGGCGCAAGCGUUAUCCGGAAUUAUUGGGCGUAAAGAGCUCGUAGGCGGUUUGUCGCGUCUGCUGUGAAAGACCGGGGCUCAACUCCGGUUCUGCAGUGGGUACGGGCAGACUAGAGUGCAGUAGGGGAGACUGGAAUUCCUGGUGUAGCGGUGAAAUGCGCAGAUAUCAGGAGGAACACCGAUGGCGAAGGCAGGUCUCUGGGCAACAACUGACGCUGAGGAGCGAAAGCGUGGGGAGCGAA